CCCUUAGAUGUUCUGGGCCGCACGCGCGCUACACUGAUGCGUUCAACGAGUAUACAACCUUGAUCGAUAGGUCUGGGUAAUCUUGUGAAUGCGCAUCGUGCUAGGGAUAGAUUGUUGCAAUUUUCAAUCUUGAACGAGGAAUUCCUAGUAAACGCAAGUCAUCAGCUUGCAUUGAUUACGUCCCUGCCCUUUGUACACACCGCCCGUCGCUACUACCGAUUGAAUGAUUUAGUGAGUACCAGGGACCGAGCGCUUUGGUUGGGUUUCCUUCCCUAGCGCUUGGGAACUGUCGCAAACUUGACCAUUUAGAGGAAGUAAAAGUCGUAACA
rnacentral:rRNA from 1 species